rnacentral:rRNA from 1 species
UGGGGAAUCUUCCGCAAUGGGCGCCAGCCUGACGGAGCCAGACCGCGUGGGGGAGGAAGGCCCUUGGGUUGUAAACCCCUUUUCUCAGGGAAGAAACCUGACGGUACCUGAGGAAAAAGCCUCGGCUAACUCCGUGCCAGCAGCCGCGGUAAUACGGAGGAGGCAAGCGUUAUCCGGAAUUACUGGGCGUAAAGCGUUCGUAGGGGGCUCGUCAAGUCUGCUGUCAAAGCUCGGAGCUCAACUCCGACCCGGCAGUGGAAACUGGGGAGCUAGAGGGCGGCAGGGGCAGAAGGAAUUCCCGGUGUAGCGGUGAAAUGCGUAGAUAUCGGGAAGAACACCAGAGGCGAAAGCGUUCUGCUGGGCCGCGCCUGACCCUGAGGGACGAAAGCCAGGGGAGCGAAUG